rnacentral:lncRNA from 1 species
GAACUGCAAGCCGUGAUGCCCUUCUGCCGUCUUAUGCUUUGGUUGUCCCUGCCGCCAAGGGAGCAGGUGGCUGGGCCUCUCAGAAGGCCUGACCGGGGUCUUAAAAAGGAAGCCGUGGCGGAGAGAAAAGGUCCUCAAAGAAGCGCAAAGAGCAAUACCCCGCGUUAUGCCGCAGGAACUCCGCGCAAGGUGUGCUGGGAAUUGUAGUCUUUUCCAUACCUGCCGUUCUCUUAAUAUUGAAGUACUGUAUUAAUUGGGAGUAAAUUUCAUGGAGCGCCCUGGUUCCCAGAACACGUGCACAGCUAGUUGUUUAUCUUUAAGGCUUACACAGGACUCUUUGUCCUAUAUUACUUACUACUACAGGAUUCUUUCUCCUAACUUUAACAUUGAUUGAUUCAUUCAUUCAUUCCCCGCCUUUUCCCCUAAUAGCGACUCCAGACUUCUUACAGCUAAAAAUGAGAGCAGCUUAAAACAUAGGGGGAAAAGGUCUCAUUAAAAACAAUGUAACACACACAUUUUUUUAGACACCUCUGCUAUUGUGCCAAUUUGAGAGGUGCCGGAACUGAGUUCUGGCAAGUUCCGGCUGAAAAAACCCCAACUUCAUACAGUGGUACCUCGGGUUACAUAUGCUUCAGGUUACAUAUGCUUCAGGUUACAACUCCGCUAACCCAGAAAUAUUACCUCGGGCUAAGAACUUUGCUUCAGGAUGAGAACAAAAAUCGCGCAGCAGCGGGAUUAGCUAAAGUGGUGCUUCAGGUUAAGAACAGACCUCCAGAACGAAUUAAGUUCUUAACCCAAGGUACCACUGUAUAUACAAUAUCAAACAAAAAACCCCCUACAAAUUGAUAGAAUUAUAUAUAGGGGUGCAUGAGGUGAUAGUGGAGGGGUAGUUCCUCUGGUGGGGGACACAUCAUGCUCCUUCUGGGGUGGUUUGUCCACUUUUGGCCCCCACCCUGCACUCAUCUCGCAGCUGGGGCUCCCAAAAGCUGUCCGCGUAAGACAGCAGCCAUGCCUCAUAAAACUGCUUCAACUCGCCAGUUAAACCAAGUGAGGGUAGCUCUCAAACCCUUGGUGAGUUAGGGACUUCCCCUGCAUGUGAAGACAGCUUCUGGUAGACUGAGUAGAUGAAACCAGUAGUGGGUCCAAUGGUCAAGAGAUUGGUUCCUUGCAUGUGCUGCAGAGGGAAGUAAGGGGCAAUUUGAGUUCAUCAACCUGAGAAGGUAGCUCACCUAGGAGAAGAAAAGCUCUGAUCCUAAACCUCUGUUGCCUUGCAGGAUAUCUUCAGGAGUAGAAGUAAUCCCUACACAAAUCUGGAGUCCGUAAGGUAGAAUCAUAGAAUCAUAGAGUUGGAAGAGACCACAAGGGCCAUCGAGUCCAACCCCCUGCCAAGCAGGAAACACCAUCAGAGCACUCCUGACAUAUGGUUGUCAAGCCUCUGCUUAAAGACCUCCAAAGAAGGAGACUCCACCACACUCCUUGGCAGCAAAUUCCACUGUCGAACAGCUCUUACUGUCAGGAAGUUCUUCCUAAUGUUUAGGUGGAAUCUUCUUUCUUGUAGUUUGGACCCAUUGCUCCGUGUCCGCUUCUCUGGAGCAGCAGAAAACAACCUUUCUCCCUCCUCUAUGUGACAUCCUUUUCUAUAUUUGAACAUGGCUGUCAUAUCACCCCUUAACCUCCUCUUCUCCAGGCUAAACAUGCCCAGCUCCCUUAGCCGUUCCUCAUAAGGCAUCGUUUCCAGGCCUUUGACCAUUUUGGUUGCCCUCCUCUGCACACGUUCCAGUUUGUCAGUGUCCUUCUUGAACUGUGGUGCCCAGAACUGGACACAGUACUCCAGGUGAGGUCUGACCAGAGCAGAAUACAGUGGCACUAUUACUUUCCUUGAUCUAGAUGCUAUACUCCUAUUGAUGCAGCCCAGAAUUGCAUUGGCUUUUUAGCUGCCGCGUCACACUGUUGGCUCAUGUCAAGUUUGUGGUCAACCAAGACUCCUAGAUCCUUUUCACAUAUACUGCUCUCAAGCCAGGUGUCACCCAUCUUGUAUUUGUGCCUCUCAUUUUUUUUGCGCAAAUGCAAUACUUUACAUUUCUCCCUGUUAAAAUUCAUCUUCUUUGUUUUGGCCCAGUUCUCUAAUCUGUCAAGGUCGUUUUGAAGUGUGAUCCUGUCCUCUGGGUGUUAGCCACCCCUCCCAGUUUGGUGUCAUCUGCAAAUUUGAUCAGGAUGCCCUUGAGUCCAUCAUCCAAGUCGUUGAUAAAGAUGUUGAAUAAGACCGGGCCCAAGACAGAACCCUGUGGCACCCCACUAGUCACUCUUCUCCAGGAUGAAGAGGAACCAUUGAUGAGCACCCUUGGUGGUUGGAUGUCUUCUUUUACGCCUCUUUUGAGAUUCCCGCAUUGCAGAGGACUGGACUAAGGGUCUCUCGGGGUCCCUUCCAACUCUACAAUUCCAUGAUUCUGUGAUUUCUCAUGGCAACUCCUGCAGCCAAGCUAGUGCCAUACAUAUUGCUUUGGACCACAUCAGUGAGGCCAAGAGGGGGUCUUGUCAUCUGGGCAGCCUUCAUGCACACUGCCCAGGCUUGCACCCCAGAGAGGUUACAUUGGUGCUGCUAAUGCAGCGGAUAGACUUCAGUCUGGAGGUGCAUUCUGUUGCGUUUUGAAACAGACUGAUGCCAACUACCUCAUAAUGGGAGGGCAAUGCCUCCCAUUUUACAAGAUAAUCCAGAUCAGAAGAAAAUAUUAUGUUAAUCUCAGGGGAAAGCACUGCAUCCCAUGGAUACAAAAUGCCAGCUGAGAAAAAUGCAGGAACUUAAUGUGUUGAACCAAAGGGGAAGAUGUUAUCUGGAAGGUCUGCAGGUGCCAUCUUGGUAGUCAAGAUAACCCCAAAACUAAUUGGUAGUUGUAUGACUAAGCUCAUAUUUGUUUAUGUACAGUGGUGCCUCGCAAGACGAAAUUAAUCCGUUCCGCGAGUGUCUUCGUGUAGCGGUUUUUUCGUCUUGCGAAGCAACCCUAUUAGCGGCUUAACGGAUUAGCGCUAUUAGCGGUUUAGCGGCUAUUAAAGGCUUAUCGGCUUAGCGGAUUAGCUGCUAAAAGGCUAUUAAAGGCUUAGCGGCUUAGAUAAAGGGGGAAGCGACAAAAAAUCUCAAGACUCGCAAGACAUUUUCGUCUUGCGAAGCAAGCCCAUAGGGAAAUUCGUCCUGCGAAGCAACUCAAAAACGGAAAACCCUUUCGUCUAGUGGGUUUUCCGUCUUGCGAGGCAUUCGUCUUGCGGGGCACCACUGUACUCACCUGAAUUAUGUCGGCUAAUUGGCUCACUUAUCUUUUGAUGUUGGGAUGCUUGGCUCUAGGCCCAGAGAGGGGAGAAGCUUUGGACAGCGGUGGGUGAGAAAAAGCUAGAGUAAACCCUAUACAAAUCUGGAGCCCCUAAGAUAAUUGGAUAGUGCCUUGUAUGCCUCCUUCUGGCAACUUCAGUGCAGCCAGGCUGGUGCCAAACAAAGUAGCUGUAACCAUGGAUUUGGUUGUUUUGGGGCUGAACUCCAAGGCCUUGUGGGCAAAUCUCGCUGAGCUUGCUGUCACUCACCUUCCUGGCUAUGCAGACACUCCUGACUUGGUCACCCAGCUCAGGCCUUGAGUGUCAAGAAUCUCCCCAGGCUGCUAGAGUAACUGUGUUUCUGUUUCCAUUUGUGUUUCAGAUAUCCAGGAGUGUUAUGAGCUGAACUUGUUCUCUGCUUGAAAGCAGGAUGGGGCCAUGGAUCUGGAGCCUGGCACUAUCCAAGAACGUGGGUAAUGCCAGCAAAGAGUGAUACUUGGAGAAUUGUGACCAUAACAGAUACGGCCUGCAGAUGAGAAGUUUUAAAAUACCAUAGAUUGCUGAAUUAGCCAAAGGCUUGUCACUUAAAGGUAACAAAGGGGCCAGGUGAGCUUCCUUGGAGAGAGUAUGCCAAAACCAGGGAGCCAUGACAGAAAAGGCUCAGUGUGGCUGCCCUCCAGACCUUUUGCAAGGAGGGCACAUGAAGACAGGCUUCAGAAGAUAAUUGCGGGGUGUAGGACAGUUCCUUUGGGGAGAGGGAGUCCUUGAGGCAUUGGAGUCUUGAGCCAUUUACGGCUUUAUAGGUCAAAACCAGCACUUUUAAUUGGGCCCUGAAACUAAUUGGCAACGAGUGCUAUCUGGCCAGGAUUGGUGUUGCCUGCUCAAACAGCCUAGUCAGCUGGCUACCGAAUUCUGCACCAGCUGAAGUUUCCAAACCAUCUACAGACGCAGCCCUAUGUAUAUUGUGUUGCAGUAAUCUAGCCUAGAGGCUUCCAGAGUGUAGACAACAGAAGUUAGGUGGUCCCUGUCCAGAUAGGGGCAUAGCUGGGCUACUUGGCACCACUCAAGCCACUUGAGCCUUGAGCGACAGGAGUGGAUCUAGAAGUAUAUCCAAACUGCGUACCAGCUCCUUCAGAAGGAAUGUAACCACAUGAAGGGCAGGCCACUUUCCACCCACUAACAUAUAUGUAUAGUUACAUAUAAUCAUCAUAAUGGUGACAAGGGACUUGUGUCCUCUCCUUCCAGCUGCAUUUGGAUCAGAGUCUGAUAAUAAGUACUGUUGCAUGUAAGUCACCUGGAAACCAGGGCCAGCCGAAUGCUACUUGCAAGACUUUGUCCUCAUGUUAGGGUUGGAAAUACUGUAAUACAGAGCUGGAUUGCCUUGAUUGUGUGACAUAUUUGCUAAGAACAUCAUGGUGAUUAAAAUAGAGAUAUUCCUUCAGAAAUUACUGUAGUUUGACUGCCUCUUCUUUAGCUAGAGCUAAUGUCAAAGGCAAAUUCCACCCCUGCUCCUCAUCAUCAGGGCUGGAUUUAGGUUUGAUGAGACCCUAAGCUACUGGAGGUAAUAGGGCCCUUUAUAUGUCCAGCUGUCUUUUGUCAACAACAAAUUGUCACUGUUAAAAGGCGAAAGAUUUAUACGAUCUGAAGAGAAACCAGAGUUAGAAUCCAAAACUAAGAAUUUGUCAAGAAUGUAUAACUUGCUGCUGAAAUGGAAUACUCAGGAUGAAACGGUGAAAUCUGCUAUGAUUAAAUGGGCA